rnacentral:rRNA from 1 species
UAGGGAAUCUUCGGCAAUGGACGAAAGUCUGACCGAGCAACGCCGCGUGAGUGAAGAAGGUUUUCGGAUCGUAAAACUCUGUUGUUAGAGAAGAACAAGGACGUUAGUAACUGAACGUCCUCUGACGGUAUCUAACCAGAAAGCCACGGCUAACUACGUGCCAGCAGCCGCGGUAAUACGUAGGUGGCAAGCGUUGUCCGGAUUUAUUGGGCGUAAAGCGAGCGCAGGCGGUUUCUUAAGUCUGAUGUGAAAGCCCCCGGCUCAACCGGGGAGGGUCAUUGGAAGCUGGGAGACUUGAGUGCAGAAGAGGGGGGUGGAAUUCCAUGUGUAGCGGUGAAAUGCGUAAAUAUAUGGAGGAACACCAGUGGCGAAGGCGGCUCUCUGGUCUGUAACUGACGCUGAGGCUCGAAAGCGUGGGGAGCAAACAGG